rnacentral:rRNA from 1 species
CUGGCUCAGGAUGAACGCUGGCGGCGUGCUUAACACAUGCAAGUCGAACGGAGCUUAGAAGGAAGCUUGCUUUCAUUAAGCUUAGUGGCGGACGGGUGAGUAACGCGUGAGUAACCUGCCCUUGAGAGGGGAAUAACAUCGAGAAAUCGGUGCUAAUACCGCAUAAUGUCGGAGUACCGCAUGACAUUCCGACCAAAGAUUUUAUCGCUCAAGGAUGGACUCGCGUCCGAUUAGCUAGUUGGUGAGGUAACGGCCCACCAAGGCUUCGAUCGGUAGCCGAACUGAGAGGUUGAUCGGCCACAUUGGGACUGAGACACGGCCCAGACUCCUACGGGAGGCAGCAGUGGGGAAUAUUGGGCAAUGGGCGCAAGCCCUGACCCAGCAACGCCGCGUGAAGGAUGAAGGUCUUCGGAUUGUAAACUCCUUUGAUUGGGGAAGAAUAAAUGACCUACCCAAAGAACAAGCCACGGCUAACUACGUGCCAGCCGCCGC